rnacentral:tRNA from 2 species
GCCACCAUAGCCUAGACCGGUAGAGCAGCUGACUUGUAAUCAGCAGGUCGAGGGUUCAAAUCCCUCUGGUGGCUCCA